AACGAACGCUGGCGGCGUGGAUAAGACAUGCAAGUCGAACGGGAACUUCAGCUGUAGCAAUACAGUUGAAGUUUUAGUGGCGAACGGGUGCGUAACACGUGGGCAAUCUGCCGAGAAGUGGGGGAUAGCUCGCCGAAAGGCGAAUUAAUACCGCAUAUGAUCAGCUAAGACAUCUUAGCGACAUCAAAGCCGGGGCAACCUGGCGCUUUUUGAGGAGCCCGCGGCCUAUCAGCUAGUUGGUGAGGUAACGGCUCACCAAGGCUAUGACGGGUAGCUGGUCUGAGAGGACGACCAGUCACACUGGAACUGAGACACGGCCCAGACUCCUACGGGAGGCAGCAGUAGGGAAUCUUGCGCAAUGGGCGAAAGCCUGACGCAGCCAUGCCGCGUGAAUGAUGAAGGUCUUAGGAUUGUAAAAUUCUUUCACCGGGGAAGAUAAUGACGGUACCCGAGAAGAAGCCCGGCUAACUUCGUGCCAGCAGCCGCC
rnacentral:rRNA from 1 species